rnacentral:rRNA from 1 species
CCAAUAGCGUAUAUUAAAGUUGUUGCAGUUAAAAAGCUCGUAGUUGAACUUCGGGGUUUACCCAUUGGUCAGGCUUAAUUGUCUGUACUGGUGAGAUGAAUCUCUACCUUCUGAGGAACUUUCAUGCCAUUUAUUUGGUGUGGUGGGAAAUCAGGACUGUUACUUUGAAAAAAUUAGAGUGUUUAAAGCAGGCUAACGUCUGAAUACAUUAGCAUGGAAUAAUGAAAUAGGACGGACUGAUUCUAUUUCGUUGGUUUCUAGGAUCACCGUAAUGAUUAAUAGGGAUAGUUGGGGGCAUUAGUAUUCAAUUGUCAGAGGUGAAAUUCUUGGAUUUAUUGAAGACUAACUACUGCGAAAGCAUUUGCCAAGGAUGUUUUCAUUAAUCAAGAACGAAAGUUAGGGGAUCGAAGACGAUCAGAUACCGUCGUAGUCUUAACCAUAAACUAUGCCGACUAGGGAUCGGACGAAGUUAAUUUUAUAAUGACGCGUUCGGCACCUUACG